UGCCAUGCAUUCGGUUUAAUUGGGGCGAUGAGCUUAUCUAAUCCACCUAAGGUGAACAAAGCCAUCCAAUGAGUCCAACUAAUAAGUGCAAAGAUACAUGUUUUGCUUAAUGGCCCGGGAAGUCCUUCCCAGUAUUUAAAUGCUGUCUUAGUGAGCUUAAAAUUAAUUUACCAGCACCAAGCUACUCUACGGAUAACAGGCUUAAUCUCGGCAAUAUGGAAGUUCACAUUAUCAAGAGAAAUGCACCUCGAUGUCGGCUUAUCGUCACCAAAAUCUGUAGCUGGUUUAUUGGUGGGAGUGCUCAUCCCGUAAAUCGGUACGUGAGCUGGGUUCAGAACGAUGUAAAUCAGUUUGGUCUAUAUCUUUAAUUAUAACACGAACAAUUAAAUGCAUUGUUUUCUCAGUACGCAAGGACCAGAAAGA
rnacentral:rRNA from 1 species